UAAAGAAGAAUAAACACAAAGCCCUGUCUAUGUUUCUCAGGGCUAACACCUUAGAUCAGUGUCCAACUCAUCUGGGUUUCUACUUGAUUUCCCUUUAUCUUUACAGCUGUAUUUCAGGACCAUAAGUAAAUGUGCUUCCAUUCCCUUGCUAAGAGCCUGGAUUUAAGUUCCUUGUACCAACUAUCAUUCUCCACCAUUUCAUUUGGGAUCACAAGACAGUUGAACUACAGCUUGCUGGAGGUAAGAAGAAACCUUAGAAGCCAUGCUGCUACAGAGAAGGAUGUAAGAAAUGUCCGGAUGUUCUUCAAACAGAGAAACUGAGGAAUGGAAAAGAGCCAUUAGUAUAUGCGACUACUAGCAACUACCAUCCUCCUUGUGUAAAAUGAGGAGGAAGGAAGCACUAAUCCCAGUCCAGAUUGCUUGCAGAGUUCCUGGCCCCACUGCUACCGUGGUGAUGAAGUGCUUGACUACAGCUACAGCCCUAUGAAUGGCUAAUAGUUGUAAGAGAAGAAACUACGUCUAUUUCAGGUUUGUAUCCACAAAGCUUUGGGAAUAGUACAUGUCUUCAAGUAUUUUUUAUGAAUGGAUGUUGAUGCAUUUUGCCUGUAGAAAAAUGAAGAGAUCAUUCUUUGGUUGCCAGGGAA